UUAAGUUCAGCGGGUAGUCCUACCUGAUUUGAGAUCAAACAUUCAAAGAGCUGUCUUCACUGAGGAGAGACAUUUAUGAGCUCCAGUGAACCUCCAUCACUGAAGGUUAUCCGGUAGAAAACCACAAGCGUAGAUAGUUAUCACACCUGCGACGCUACCAAACACUGGCGAGCUGAUUCAUUUGAGAGGAGCCGACCACU
rnacentral:misc_RNA from 1 species